rnacentral:rRNA from 1 species
GUUCCUACGGGACGCAGCAGUGAGGAAUAUUGGUCAAUGGGCGGGAGCCUGAACCAGCCAAGUCGCGUGAAGGAUGACGGCCCUACGGGUUGUAAACUUCUUUUGUCAGGGAGCAAUUGGGUCCACGUGUGGGCUUAGCGAGAGUACCUGAAGAAAAAGCAUCGGCUAACUACGUGCCAGCAGCCGCGGUAAUACGUAGGGGGCAAGCGUUAUCCGGAUUUACUGGGUGUAAAGGGAGCGCAGACGGCUGUGCAAGUCUGGAGUGAAAGGCGGGGACCCAACCCCCGGACUGCUCUGGAAACUGU